rnacentral:rRNA from 1 species
UACGUAGGCAGCGAGCGUUGUUCGGAGUUACUGGGCGUAAAGGGUGUGUAGGCGGUCCUCCAAGUUUGGUGUGAAAUCUCCCGGCUCAACCGGGAGGGUGCGCCGAAAACUGGGGGGCUAGAGUGCGGGAGGGGAGAGUGGAAUUCCUGGUGUAGCGGUGAAAUGCGCAGAUAUCGGGAGGAACACCAGUAGCGAAGGCGGCUCGCUGGGCCGUUCCUGACGCUGAGACGCGAAAGCUAGGGGAGCGAGCAGG